rnacentral:lncRNA from 1 species
AUGUUAACUCUCACCAUCACCAUCAUCACCAUUAUCACCACCAUCAUCACCAACACCAUCAUCAUCAUCACCAUCAUUAUCAUCACCACCAUCAGCACCAUCAUCAGCAGCAGCACCAUCAUCAUCACCAUUAUUAUCACCAUCACCACCAUCAUCACCAUCAUCAGCACCAUCAUCACCACCAUCACCAUCAUCACCAUCAUUAUCAUCACCACCACCAUCAGCACCAUCAUCAUCACCACCAUCAGCACCAUCAUCACCAUUAUCACCAUCAUCACAAACACCAUCAUCAUCAUCACCAUCAUUAUCAUCACCACCACCAUCAGCACCAUAAUCAUCGCCAUCAUCACCAUUAUCACCAUCACCACCAUCAUCACCAUUAUCACCAUCAUCACCAACACCAUCAUCAUCAUCACCAUCAUUAUCAUCACCACCACCAUCAGCACCAUCAUCAUCGCCAUCAUCACCAUUAUUAUCACCAUCACCACCAUCAUCACCACCAUCACCAACACCAUCAUCAUCACCACCACCAUCAGCACCAUAAUCAUCGCCAUCAUCACCAUUAUCACCAUCACCACCAUCAUCACCAUUAUCACCAUCAUCACAAACACCAUCAUCAUCAUCACCAUCAUUAUCAUCACCACCACCAUCAGCACCAUCAUCAUCACCACCAUCAGCACCAUCAUCACCAUUAUCACCAUCAUCACAAACACCAUCAUCAUCAUCACCAUCAUUAUCAUCACCACCACCAUCAGCAUCAUAAUCAUCGCCAUCAUCACCAUUAUCACCAUCACCACCAUCAUCACCAUUAUCACCAUCAUCACCAACACCAUCAUCAUCAUCACCAUCAUUAUCAUCACCACCACCAUCAGCACCAUCAUCAUCGCCAUCAUCACCAUUAUUAUCACCAUCACCACCAUCAUCACCACCAUCACCAACACCAUCAUCAUCACCACCACCAUCAGCACCAUAAUCAUCGCCAUCAUCACCAUUAUCACCAUCACCACCAUCAUCACCAUUAUCACCAUCAUCACCAACACCAUCAUCAUCAUCACCAUCAUUAUCAUCACCACCACCAUCAGCACCAUCAUCAUCGCCAUCAUCACCAUUAUUAUCACCAUCAUCAUCAUCAUCACCACCCCAUCAUCACUAGUGUGCUGGGCACAGUCCCAAACUGAUAGCCCUAGUAAGCAGAUUGGGCACCACUGA